GACGAACGCUGGCGGCGUGCUUAACACAUGCAAGUCGAACGAUGAAAGGGGAGGUUGCUCCUCUGGAUUAGUGGCGAAAGGGUGAGUAACACGUGUGCAUUCUGCCCCUGACUGCGGAAUAACUACGGGAGACAGUAGCUAAUAUCGGAUAUGCGCCGGACAGGCAUCUGUAACGGUGGGAAAGGAUUUCGGUCAGGGAUGAGCUCGCGGCCUAUCAGCUUGUUGGUGAGGUAACGGAGCACCAAGGCGACGACGGGUAGCCGGACUGAGAGGGUGACAGGCCACAUUGGGCCUGGGAAACCGGCCAGACUCAUACGGGAGGCAGCAGUGCGGAAUAGUGCACAAUGGGCGGCAGCAUGAAGCAGCAACGCCGCGUGAGAGAUGACGGCCUUCAGGUUGUAAACCUCUUUUAGCAGGGAAGAAGCGAAAGUGACGGUACCUGAAGAAAAAGCGCCGGCUAACUACGUG
rnacentral:rRNA from 1 species